UACGAAGGGGGCUAGCGUUGUUCGGAAUCACUGGGCGUAAAGCGUGCGUAGGCGGCUCGGUAAGUCGGGUGUGAAACCCCCAGGCUCAACCUGGGGACGCCACCCGAUACUGCUGUGGCUAGAGUCCAGUAGGGGAGUGUGGAAUUCCCGGUGUAGCGGUGAAAUGCGCAGAUAUCGGGAGGAACACCAAUGGCGAAAGCACUCUGCUAGGCCGACACUGACACUGAGAGACGAAAGCUAGGGGAGCAAAUGGG
rnacentral:rRNA from 1 species